GCUGUUCAAAUAUGCUACCUCUUCGUGGUGAGCAGCAGGCAACGGAUUAUACUCCGGCUAAAGCAUAU
rnacentral:ribozyme from 1 species